rnacentral:lncRNA from 1 species
UACACUGUUAUAAACUCGCACUAAUUAAGUUUUCUAAUUUCGUGGUUAUCAAGUGCAUAUCAAGGUCUCUAACACCAGGGAAACAGAGCUUCCGGAGAGGUUUACAGCGACAGCUCUCUAGAGGAGGCCUAUGUUCAGCAGUGGAUGGAUUUUGGCUAAGAUUAUGAUGAUGAUCAUAGAAGAAAAGGAUCGAGUUUGAGCAUAAUCUGGAAGGCAUUGUCAGUCGGGAUUCACGUGGCCGCUGCGCCGGCGCCGCGUCGGUCGCCGCCCAGUCAGCUUUUCUCGCGGACCGCUUGCUACCUGUCUUUGGUUCGGCGCUUCACGCUUACAAAUGCGGACAAAAUAGCAGCGAUUUACGGGAAGAGAAUCAUCGAUAGCCUGGUUAUAACGAAAGAUGACCGUUGUACACCAAAUCGUCGGCUCCUGGGUCGCGUCAGUCGCCAAAUAUCUAGCAGUGAUGCUAUCGCGAGUGUUACCGUCGUCACUACGUCAACAGGAACUGAAGGAAAGGAUACAAUCAGCUUUCCUUCAAGUCCAACAUGACUCCACGUCGAUCCCAUUUCUAAAACUAUUGGGUAGUUUCAGAAAUGAUACAGCUACCUCUUCUACAGGUUUUCAUUUCACGAUGAUUACACACGUACUGAUCAUAAUUUUUGUCGUUUUAGAUCAUUUAGUCGUCUGAUUUAGUUAUUUCAAGGUCAAAUCGUUUGGUAAUAGCUAUCUUUGAUUAAAGGACAAUGACUACCUAAAUCAACAUAACAUUUAAGUUUGUUGCCAUUGACCAUAAUAUCUAUGAUAUAUUAUAUAUAUAUUUAUAUAGUUAUUAGUUCCGUCAAUUUUACAUUCUGCUAAUUUGUUUCAUUACUUCCCCUAAUCUGCUUUUAAUUUUUCUUUUAAUAUUAUUGUUGCCUUUAUUUUUAAAAGCUGGUUAUUAUGAGUAAUAAUAUGGCUGAUCUAGUGGCUUCACGGUAUUCUAUAUCCCUGCAUUGUACUAUUUUUACAGUUUUAGAGCAUUUAAAUACUUGUUCAGGUUCAGAGAACUGAACCAUCUACACUCGCCUUUACUGCUCUAUUCUCCAUUCCGUACAGUGCGUAUGUUACGGAGCCAGCCGCCUGUCUACCAAAUGUCUUGCAUCAGUGUUCCAACGAUACAUCAAAACGAGCCUUUUUAGCAAAUACCUUAGUCAAAAGCUCAGUAUAAAAACAAAAACAUAUUAUUACUCAUAAUAACAAUUAUAAAUAGUACUUUAUUUAAAAAAAUCUUUUAAACGUUUGCAAAUAAUAGGUUUAUGUUUAUGUUUGAGGUUAAAUCACAGAUAAUGUGAAUGCAGUCAAAAUUAUGUUUAUCUGUUAAAUUAAAAGUAAACUGUCAAAAUUAAAAGUGAAAUAUCAGAAUUUUGA